GAUCAAGGCAGUGGAUUGUGAAUCCACCCAUGCGCG
rnacentral:tRNA from 1 species